GACGUAGGGCGCGAGCGUUUGUCCGGAUUUAUUGGGCGUAAAGAGCUUGUAGGCGGUCUGUCGCGUCUGCUGUGAAAAUCCGGGGCUCAACCCCGGACUUGCAGUGGGUACGGGCAGACUAGAGUGUGGUAGGGGAGACUGGAAUUCCUGGUGUAGCGGUGAAAUGCGCAGAUAUCAGGAGGAACACCGAUGGCGAAGGCAGGUCUCUGGGCCACUACUGACGCUGAGAAGCGAAAGCAUGGGGAGCGAACAGG
rnacentral:rRNA from 1 species